rnacentral:tRNA from 1 species
GCAAUGGUGGUUCAGUGGUAGAAUUCUCACCUUCUAUGUGGGAGACCUGACUUCGAUUCCCUACCAGUUCA